UCUAGAAUCUCUUCCUGCUGCCUGCGGAUCCAGAUGUGGAACUCUCAGCUCCUUCUCCAGCACCAUGUCUGCCUGUGUGCCACCGUGCUUCCCACCGUGAAGAUAACGGACUAAAUCUCUGAAACUGUAAGCCAGGCCCAAUUAAACGCUUUCUUUUAUAGGAGUUGCUGUGGCCAUGGUGUCUCUUCACAGCAACACAGGAAUGACUAAGACAGAAAUUGGCAUCAGGGGCAGGGUUUUGCUGUGACAGCCUGCUCAUGCUGUGGGUGAAAUGUGGACUUUUGGACUUUGGAUUAGGAAAGCAGUUGUGUUGUGGAUAUAAACGCAGUUUUGUUUUGUUCCCAGGUGUGGGAUGUGGGACUGAUUCAGAUGGUCCACAGCAGCAGACUAUUUGCCUCAUGCCAGCUCUGAGAGGAGCUGCAGAUAGUUUAAAUCUGAGGACUCUGGAGAGAGAAUAAAUGCCAGAGACCAGAGAGUGAGAAGCUCAGAAAAAGAACAAGGCUGAUCCUGCUUCCCCCUUGCUGCUACUGAUUGCUGUUGCAAGACAAGAAGCUAGAGGUCUCCUGAAACAAGGAUUGGACUGGCUUCCAAGGAACCGGAUGACCCUGACCAGCAGGAAGCAGCUAAGAGAACUGCACCCCCUGUCGCACUAACUCUUUCUCUCUCCUACCUGGUGUUGGGGUGUUGGAAAGGAUUGGAGUGGAGUAGGGAGAAAAAGAUAAAAGAAAUAUAAAGAAAAGAGUUUUUAAAAAAGUACACCAACACAGUUGACUGCAUUAAGCAGGGCUUAAUGAGCCAUACUAGUAGGAGCAUGGAAGACAUCGCUAGGAGCAAUUUGAACUGUGUGUGUGGCGGGGGAGAUCAACAAGUUCCAGAGGCCUAGAGACUGUUCUUCUAAUAUUUUGGCAAAGAAUGUAGCUGCUUUUUGCCCCUGUUCCAAUAUGUAUAUGUUCAUUGAAGAGUUAUGAAUUAAUGGCCGUGGCAGAAGAGAUUUUAAGACAGCCUAGUGUUGACCGCGUCACCUGGGUGCUAGCUACUAGCAGCCACCCUUCUGCAGAUCGACAAGGGAAAGAAGCAAGUGGGGCAAGGAGAAGACCAAAAUGUACAGUUGGAGGAGAGAAGGCGCUCCAGUGAGAACUAAGUCCAGUGCCCAAGGAGAGAACAUUUAAGGAAAGCCUGAUGCUAAAGGGAAUAAAGGGAAUGUUGGCCUCAGGGCAAGACCCCAGCCAGCUAAGCUUUCACCCUGACCAAGGAAAACAGGAAGAUGAAAAUGUAUUUGAAGGAGGGGGCCAUGUUCUAGCCCCAUCAAGCAGCAGAACUUGGCAGCCUUGGCCUCAUGUUUCUGGCUUUCGCGGCAAGGAUAGAGGAAGGGAUUGUGGAAUCUCCCUCCACGGCUAAGGAAAGCUGCUGAGCCAGGCAUGUGUCAGGGGUGUCCCAGCAUGGAGGCCCAGGGAGAGGCCGUUGUGUGAGCUGUGAGAGUGAAGCCUAGAUUUCACUGGAGACCCCACGAUGUUGGAGAUACCAGAGCUGUGGGGUACCUGCCAAGGAAAGGUACUAACAGGGAGAGGAACCAGCCCAAGAGAGACAAGUCUGUGGCAGUCAACAAACCCGGAAGGAGUGAAAGGUCUGAAGAACACUUGGAUGUCAGACAUGGAAAUGCAUAAUUUGGAGUGUGCUAGCUUACAGUUUUGAAGUUUAAUCCAUUGUCGUAGUGGGAGGUACAGCAGCCUAUAGGCAGAGGUGAUGCUGAAAGUUUCCAGUCUUCCUCUGGUCCAGCAUUUUCUCACUAUGCCCCCUUCCCUCCCUUUUUGAAGGGUAAUGUAUAUAUUCUUCGCCGUUGUAUGUUGAAAGUAUGUGAUCUGCUUUGAUAUUUUGAUUUUUACAGUCAGGAAAUUGCCUUGGGGCUCAGACAAGCCUUUGGAUGGACAUUUACACGGCGUUUCGACGGUUGUAGAGUAGGGGGACUUCUGAAGUUGGACUGAAUGUAUCUUUGUGUUCUGAUGUGGCUAUAAACCUAUGGGGGCCAGGGAGUGGGAGGCGUGACUUGAAUAGGAAUGGCCCCUAUGGGCUUGUGUUUCUGAAUGCUCGUCACCAGGGGGUGGAACUAUUAGAAAGGUUUCAGAGGUGUGUCCGUGUUGGAGGAAGUGUGUCACGGAGGUAAAACCCGAAGUUUCAGAAGCCCAUUCCAAGCCCAGAAUCUCUCUGUCCCUGCUGUUUGCAAAUUGAGACAUAGAACGCUAGCUCCUUCUCCAGCACCAUGUCUGCCUGCCUGCCUGCCUGCUGCCAGUUAAAUGUUUCCUUUAUAAGAGUCAGAGCGGCCGUGGUGUCUCUGCACAGCCGUAGAAGACUGACCCAAACGCAUGUCAACAGUGUUGCAAUGUAUGAACCAAUCUUACCUCACCUCAUGUACUCAGCCAGUGUCUCAUAGAGACUUGCCUGAAGUCUGGCCUGAGAGAAUUCCACGACUCCUGUGGGCUGACACAUGGACAUUGUCGCUGAAACAAACCAGGAGGAAGGAGGAGCUCAGGUCCCACUCUGUGAGAAUGGCCUUGAACCUCUUCACAUCAUGCCUCUACCUCCCAACCUUUGGCACUACAGGCGUGCGCCACCAUGAGUGGGGUAUGUGGUGCCAGCUGUUGUCAUGGCAACUGUCAACGGACAUGGCCCUGGGGGUUAUGCCAUUUUGCCCACAGGCGGAAUUAUACGUUAGAGACUGUUUGCUGACAAUCAUCUACAAUCUAAUGAGUUUGGGCUAACCCAUCUGAGAAGGGACUGUAAGUACCCUGUCCUCAGAGAUCAACACAGUUAGGGUAGACUAAAGAUUCAGCUUGCCCUCCUGGGCAGUAUUCAGGGGGAUAUGCUCUGCUCCCUCAUCUUGCUGGGCCAUCUUGCUGGGCCAGCUUACAUAGAGAUCCAAACUAGCUGCGUAGCCUGGGCUGACCUUGAAUUUGUUGAUCUUCCUGUUAAAUGUUGGGAUGAUAGGUGUUUGAUUUGACACUGUGUCUGGGUUUUUACUGCUGGGCCUCUAACCUAGUGUGUGGUGCCUGUUGGACAAACACGCCACGAUUGAGCUAAAGCCCUGUCCUCGGGAUAUGGGGCUUUUAAGAGAUAUUUCAAUCUUUUACAAUACCAAGCCGCUUGUGCGCUAUGAAGAGAGGUGGAGCUGGAGACUCGAAGGCAGUUCCUAUUCUUACUCCUGGGAAAUGGUGAAUCACACUCCAACAGUAGAGCCAGUAACAACGCAAGUGCCAGUGGCCUGUGCCUUCUUCCUUUGAGAAUAUGACCACUGUGACUCCCAGAGCUACAUACUAGCCCAGGGAAGAAGAGCAGUACCUGCAGAGUGGAGACCCACACUUGCCUCGCCAUGUUCUCCGUGUUUACUUCUCAUCAUUGGCCUAUCUCUCUAGUUGGUUGUGGUGGUGGUUCAGCCAUGAGACUGGACAACUCUGCGUUGAGUUACAGUUUUUCUGUGCUGUGUUUAACUUUGACCAGGGAUUUAUUUCCUUUGGAAUCUUAGUGUUGGACAAACAUUUGAAGAAAUCCAGAGACCCCACCCACUUCGUGGUCUGCAGCUCGAGCAACUACAAUAUGCAAAUAUGGGGUGGAGAGAUGGGAGAGAGUGAGCAGUGGAACAGUUUGAGGACUAUGAAGAGACAUGAGGGUGGAGAGGAACGGCCACACGUGAGUAGCCUGGAUGUCACCUGAGGCUACCGUGAGGUCCUGGUCUGUGCCGCUACUGAGGGCCAUAUCUGUGUUGAUGUCCAUGGAUCAAAUUACCACCAAUGGCCACCUUGACAUCCCUGGUCUGGGCUGCUGCCUUGGACCCUGUUGCUGUUCAAGGACUGCACAAAGAUGGCCCCACCCCUCACUGGCUGCAGCUCUCGGAAGAGUCCCACUCCCACCCUGCACCUCACCCAAGCAGCACAGUAGAGCUGGCCCUGUAGGGGGGACACAAGCAAACCUGAGGGCAUGCGUAUGGGAGAGCUGGCCCUGCCUGUCACUGGCUGCAGCACUCAGGAGAGCAGGGCCCUGGUGGUGGAAGCAUGGAAAGUAGGCCCUGGUCCCAGGGCAUGAGAGUAGGAGAACUGUCCCCAUCCUCCACCCCUUGCUGGCUUUGGCAUUGGGCAAGCUAGCUGGGGCAGAGCUGGAGAGCUUGUCUUGGUGGUGAGGGUGCCGGAGAGCUGGUGGGCUGACCAACUCAGAUACCUCCCAGGCCCAGGUCCAAGGCUAUGAGUUGGCCCACCCCAACAUCUACCCCAGGUAUGAACUGCUGGAGCCAUUCAUGCAGAUCCAAAGCUGCAGGAUCUCAUGACAUGGGACAGCUGGAUAUCUGAGAGGAGUUCCCAUGAGCAUCCAGUUUUGAUGGUGUAGCAGAAGCCAGAGGCCUUGAAUCAGACCAAUGACUCAUGGCAAUGAACAUUUGCAAAGAUGUGUGGACAAAAGGCUAUACUGUGGGACACACUACAGCUUCCAAGACAAGACCUUUUCUUUUUUUUUUUUUUUUUCUCUUGAGGGGGAGGUUCCAAGGACAAAGGGCAGAUACAAAGGGAGGAGGAGAUGAGUGGGGUACAUGAAGCGAAAUUCAC